rnacentral:rRNA from 1 species
CAGUAGCCGCGGGAAUACAGAGGGUGCGAGCGUUAAUCGGAUUUACUGGGCGUAAAGCGUGCGUAGGCGGCUUCUUAAGUCGGAUGUGAAAUCCCUGAGCUUAACUUAGGAAUUGCAUUCGAUACUGGGAAGCUAGAGUAUGGGAGAGGAUGGUAGAAUUCCAGGUGUAGCGGUGAAAUGCGUAGAGAUCUGGAGGAAUACCGAUGGCGAAGGCAGCCAUCUGGCCUAAUACUGACGCUGAGGUACGAAAGCAUGGGGAGCAAACAGGAUUAGAUACCCCCGUAGUCCAUGUCUCUUAUAA